GACUGCAGCAAGUAAUUUAAUGAGAGUAAAAAAAAGUGAAUUUUGUUUUCGGCGGGGGCAUGUGCUAAGAAAAUCUUGUUGAGAGAAGAAGAAAACAGUACUCCCCUCCCCUCCCCUCCCAUAAUACAUACAACUCUCAAGUUCUCAGAGUAGAAGAACUUCAAAGAAAGAGAAGAAUAGCACACUGUAUCUAGAGAGAGAGGCAGUCAGUGCAAUGAAGAUAACCAAGAAGAAGAAGAAGAAGAAGAAGAAAAGCAUUUUGGGAGUUGGUUUCUCUGUCCCCAUAGCACCAUCAAAGGACCAAAUGGGACAUUGUUUUGAUGGAUGGUUCAAGAUGACAAUGAUGGACAGAGCUAUUGAGGAAGCUUCAUUUCUCUUUUGAUUUAUUUUUGUUAGCAUUUUGAUGAUAUUGGCAUGAAGUGGCUCAAUCUUAGUGUAUGUGUACGUAAUAACCUUGUAUUAUACUACAAUUAUUUCAAAGUUCUCAAGGAUUUUCGUUUUGUUGUUU